AGCUCCAAUAGCGUAUAUUUAAGUUGUUGCAGUUAAAAAGCUCGUAGUUGGAUUUCGGUUGAGAACGGCCGGUCCGCCGUUUGGUGUGCACUGGCUGGUUUCAACUUCCUGUAGAGGACGCGCUCUGGCUUCACGGCUGGACGCGGAGUCUACGUGGUUACUUUGAAAAAAUUAGAGUGUUCAAAGCGGGCUUACGCUUGAAUAUUUCAGCAUGGAAUAACACUAUAGGACUCCUGUCCUAUUUCGUUGGUCUCGGGACGGGAGUAAUGAUUAAGAGGAACAGUUGGGGGCAUUCGUAUUUCAUUGUCAGAGGUGAAAUUCUUGGAUUUAUGAAAGACGAACUUCUGCGAAAGCAUUUGCCAAGGAUGUUUUCA
rnacentral:rRNA from 1 species